rnacentral:ncRNA from 1 species
AAAUUUAAAUAUAGUUUAUAUUAAAAAAUUAAAAACUUUCUUUAUAUUCUUAUUUAUAAAUUUAUAUUUAAAUAGAAGAAAAAUUUAUUUUUUUUUAAAAAAAAUAAAAUAGAAGUUUUAAAAAUGAUUUUGGCUAAACUUGUGCCAGCCGCCGCGGUUAUACAAGUAAAAUUUUUUUUAAAAAAAUUAAUUAUAAUAAAAUUGUAUUUUUAAUAAUUAAAAAUUUAAUAAGGUGAAAUUUUUUWUUUUUUUAAUCAAAAAUAAUUUGAUUUUAAAAAAAUUUAAUUUUUAAACUAGGAUUAGAUACCCUAUUAUUUUAAGCUUAAUGUUGGUAGUAAGUAAAAUUUAUGAAAUCAUAAAAUUUUGGCGGUAUUUUAAGCUUGUUAGAGGAAUUUGCUCUAUAAUGGAUACAACGCCUAUAUCUUACUUAAUUUUGUAAUUAAAGUCAGUUUGUAUACCACUAUAUUUAAUUAUAUUGAAUAAUUAUAUUUAAGAUUUUUAUAUAAAUAUAUAUUAAGUCAAGGUGCAACAAAUAAUUAUGAGUGAAGUGAAUUACAUUAAUUUUAAUGAUAUUUUGAUACUGAAAAAAAAAGUUAGGAUUUAAUAGUAAAAUAUUAAUAUAAUGAAUAUUUGAAUUAAGCUCUAAAAUAUGCACAUAUCGCCCGUCGCUCUCAGAGGUGAGAUAAGUCGUAACAAAGUAAAAAUACUGGAAAGUGUUUUU